AUUGCAUUUCAAUACAUGGCCAGCACUCCCAGAUUGGAUUAGUUGCUGUGGAAUGGCCUACAGAAAGAUCUUACAGAGUCUGUCUUGAAGACAGCAUUUCAUGAGCAGUACAGGUUGUCAGUGUGGAAUGAUUCAGAGGGAUUCCUGUUACAUCAGAGUUCCUACAGACUCAGACACAGAGAAGGAACACCCAUGGACAGCCUAGUGUCCUAUGGAGACACAGUGCCUUUUGCAUGAGCCUCAACUGCAGAGCUUCUCAGCAGGACAGUUGCUAAGAAAAUUGGUCAUCUACUUUCUAAUUUUGCCUGCUGCCAUAUUGCCAGUCCAGGUGGAGUUUUCCUGCACAAGCUCUCUUUGCUUGCUGCCAUCCAUGUAAGAUGUGACUUGCUCCUCCUUGCCUUCCACCAUGAUUGUGAGGCUACCCCAGCCACAUGGAACUGUUGACAUGGAUUUUAUUCAACAGACAAGCUGACAUUUAUCAAGAUGCUUUCAAUUACACCAAAAGAAAUAGAAGUCUUCGUCUUAUUGCUGUUUAUGUGGCAGUAUUGUUCUCCUACAAUAAGUUGAUGGAAAUGAGUUGUUUUGUUUUUCAUUUUAGCCAUUUUACAAGUAAGUUUGCUAUUGUUGUUGCUGUUUUUAGAAUAAAAUGAUUUUACCAAUAACAUUGAGUGGCUAUACCUUUCCUUAAUAAUGGGAAAUUUUAU
rnacentral:lncRNA from 1 species